rnacentral:lncRNA from 1 species
GUUUUAUAGUUAACUUGGCUUAGUUUAGUUCAGAUUGCGAGAAAAAAAAUUGUUUGGGGGGGAUGUUUUGGUUGGGCCAAUAUUGUUGAAGAGAGCGUUGAGAGCCAUGUGUUCUUUUGGUUCAGUUAGCUUGGAAGCUAAAUUUAUUUAACAAUUCCUUCUGGGUUUUUCUGGGUUUUUGUUCAAGUGGGAGUCCUCUCCUGUUCAGGCUUAUCAGCGAGUGUCAAUAGGAGGCUCGUGGUGUUUUUGUUUUAGGUGGCAGUGAACGUGGGUAGAGCUUCCCUUUUCCCCUACAUCGGCUCGGGAGCACCUCUGUGGUUAUAGGGGGGGCCGCCAGUUCUGCUUGUCUUUUCCACUCCACUGGUUUUGUGUGCAUAAAACCCCACCACAUGUGACUGCACGAAGACCAGGGCCAGUUACUUAGUUGUUUUUGGAGGAUAUUGGGGUGUGGCUCCUGUUCUUGAACCCAGACUGACAGCAGAAUACUUCAAAAUGAGAAGAUCCUGCCAUGGAAAAGACGACUAGGUGGACAUAAAGUGGAAAGGAGGGGAAAUAACUCGCACUAUGCAGCAGGACACCUUCAGCUGUGGGAUGGCCAAGGAAGUUGCAUAGAACUUCCCCAACAUCCCCUCUCAAAUUGAUAUGGAACCUUCAAAAACACAUGGAGCAACUGCGAAAAGAAAUGGCUGAGAAUUUACUAAAAAUGUCUGAGUUCAACAAAGCCAACAACUGCGUCAUGUGUGCCACUGAUAAAGAACCUGGAUGUGGCCCAAAGACUGACUGGUGUGCUGUGCCUAGGAAUGAAGACAAGAGUUCAACAGAGUAAAGAACACAAACUGGAAGUGCUGUCUUUGUUGUUGAAAAUGUAUGCUAUACCCCAGCCACACUGAAGAGGCUCUGAAAUGUACAUCAACCAGGGAUAAAGAGAAAGUUAACACUGUGAAAUGUUUCUUACUUAAUUGAAGUUAUGUCUCUGACAUGUUGAAAAAGAUUAAAG